GCGGCGGACGGGUGAGUAAUACGUGAGGAACCUACCUUCCACAAGGGGAUAGCCUCGGGAAACCGGGAUUAAUACCCUAUGACACUUAAGAGUCGCAUGACUCUUAGGUUAAAGCGAUUUAGCGGUGGGAGAUGGCCUCACGUCCCAUUAGCUAGUUGGUGAGGUAACGGCUCACCAAGGCGACGAUGGGUAGCCGGCCUGAGAGGGUGACCGGCCACACUGGGACUGAGACACGGCCCAGACUCCUACGGGAGGCAGCAGUGGGGAAUAUUGCACAAUGGGCGAAAGCCUGAUGCAGCGACGCCGCGUGAGCGAAGAAGGCCUUCGGGUCGUAAAGCUCUGUCCUAUGGGAAGAUAAUGACGGUACCAUAGGAGGAAGCCCCGGCUAACUACGUGCCAGCAGCCGCGGUAAUAC
rnacentral:rRNA from 1 species